rnacentral:lncRNA from 1 species
AAUAUCUAACACUUAAUUCAGGCCUGUCAAUCAAUCAUUACAUAUGCAACUACUAUUACUAUAGGCGGUAGAUGCUAAAAUAGGUUUCCCGUUUCCUUAACAAUUAAGUGACUUUUCAUUUGAUCAAUUCAAGCAGUCAUUUUUGAGAAUUCAUUUAAGGAUGUUCACAAUAUAAUUUUAGAUUCUAUUUUUCAAUGAAUAAUGUUAUUUACAGUCGUCCACUAUUACAGUAGUCCUAUGUGACAUACAGGUGGUGGUAUCAAAUCACUAAUCCCUACAUGUACACUACGUAGGACGACUACGACAGUGAACGAUUGCAAAUAACAUUGCUCUUUUUCCAAUGAUUGUACGAUAUAGCAUGGAAAUUUAUUAUGCAAUUGAUUGUUUGAAAAUAUGCAUCCUAACUUUUUAAAGUUCCAAGAAAUUUGCUUUCUUGGCUUCGAUAAUACAACCAGAAUUGAUUCAAGGGUGUAUGCAAUGUAGUUUUUGGUUCUAUUUUUAAAAAUGAUGGUACGAUCAAGCAUGGCUUUCACUGUGCAAUUGAUUGCUUGAAAAUAUGAGUUCCAAGAAAUUUCCAUUCUUAGCUUGUUGGAGCACAAUUCACUAUGCACUCAACUUGAAAGGCAAAAAGUAGAUGAAACAAGAUUCAAAAAAGGGGAAACGAGUUCAUGAUUCCAUGAAUUUAAUGCUGCACGUAAUUUAAAGAGUGUGAUUGUGUCAAGUUGCAAGAAAUUUGCUCUCUUGGCUUCAGAAUUAAUUCAAGUGUUCGCAAAAUAAUGGUACGAUCAAGCAUGGGCAAAUACUGUGCAAUUGAUUGCUUGAAGAGUUCCAAGAAAUUUUCUUUCUUAGCUUGUUGGAGCACAAUUCACUAUGCACUCAACUUGAAAGGCAAAAAGUAAUAAGAUUAAAAAUAAUAAUAAUAAAAAAUAAAAAUUCAUGAUUGCAUGAAUUUAAUGCUGCACAUAAUUUAAGAGAGUGUGAUUGUGUCAAGUUGCAAAAAUCUUUCGUAUCGUUGCCUCAGAAUAUGUGAUUUUCUUCUUCUCUCAUUUUAGUAAAUUGUAUUUUUUUUUUCUUUUUUGUGUCUAAUAAUUAAGAAAACAUAUUUAUUGAUUGUUUUUAUUCAUUUGGCGUAAGAUUAUUUUUGUUUGUGACAGUUGAAAACAAUUGCGGAAUUGAUUGUUGAGUUGGACCAAUGUCUGAAAAUGUAAAACUUGAGUUUUACCAACUUAAGCUAAUUGAUUAUGUAAGUUGUAUAA